rnacentral:rRNA from 1 species
GCAUCGAUGAAAAACGCAGCGAAAUGCGGUAUAAGUAAUGUGAAUUGCAGAAUUCAGUGAAUCAUCGAAUCUUUGAACGCACAUUGCGCCCAUUAGUAUUCUAGUGGGCAUGCCUGUUCGAGCGUCAUU